rnacentral:rRNA from 1 species
AUGGACAAUGAGUACUCAAUGGGAUACUAUCUCACCAAUGGAAUUUAUACCGAGUGGGCAACUUUUGUGAAGUUCAUCAAGGAGAAAAAUGGGGUGCCCUUAACCAGUAAACAGGCUCAUUUCACCAAGGCACAAGAGGCAGCCCGCAAGGAUAUUGAGAGAGCUUUCGAUGUUUUGCAAGCUAGGUUUGCCAUAGUUCGGGGUCCAGCUCGUUUUUGGGAAAAAAAAACCUUGGAGAACAUCAUGAAAUGUUGUGUGAUUCUACACAACAUGAUCCUCGAGGAUGAGAGAGGGUUAAACCUGCCUUGUUUCUAUGACAAUGUCGGUACCCGUGUGCAACCGGAAAGAAACCGGUGUUGCAUACAAGCUUUUCUUGAAGCACAUCAUGAGAUUGAGGAUGCAAACACUCAUGGUCAGCUCCGGGAUGAUCUAGUAGAGCACCAGUGGCAGUUGGAUGGGCGGCGCCAAGGCCCAUGA